AGCUUAGUUCACUCAAAGAUUUUCAUGUGGGAGCAAAAUUCGACAUUGGCGAAUUUCGUUACGUACAUACAUAGCAAAAAUGAAAUGUCAUAAGGUAUCAAAACAUUUCACUGUGAAAAUGGACGGGACGUAACGUCGGCGAAAACAGUUUUGUUGCUGAAGCUGGGCUUCAUAUAACACCAGAAAGCAAUCAGUGACAAAUUCUUUGCACAGUUAUCACUAUAAAGAACAACCUAUACCUGGAAGCAAUAAAAAGCACUAAUCUUGGAAUAUUCUCGUUGGUGGGAGCCUGUGGAAACGCCUGUGGAAUAUAUUUAUUCAUGGAGUACAAAAAUAUUUGAUCGCCGAUAAUGCUGAUCUGUGCAAAGGGAAUUAGUGUUUUGAAUUCAUCGCUACAGUAUUACGAAGUCGAUCGCCGAGCAUGCCACAUUAGAAACAGUGACAGUUCUUGUGCUUUCAACAUUCUUGAAUUCAAUCAGAUAAAGGACAAAUCGGACGACACAGUAUAUAUACGUGUUGAAUUUGAUCGAAACUGUGUAUACGAACUCUGAGUUAGUUCCAUGAUGUUAGUGUUAGGCUUUCAUUUUUCAAAAGGAUCAAACUACAACAAAGUUUCAAAGAUUCAAAGGAACUAGCUACCUUCAGCAAUACUCAUCUUAACAUUCGAUUUCCUUGAAUGACUAACGAGUUGUCUCAAAGUCUUGAAAGGCAAAUAUCGUUCGGUGUUAGUAUUAGAGAACUUUGUAUCGAUUUUCCAGAACAGUUUCAUCAGUGUCAGU